UUAUCUUCCGUCCCCUACUGCACUUUGAACUGUGUGCUUGUUAAAGCUACUUUGAACCCGUGUCAUUACGCUACAGUGCAUUUUGUCUCUACUCUUUUAAAAGGGUGGGCUUUGCUCUCUUUGGAAUUGAAUAGCAAGAGUCCUGUGGUCCUGCCGAGGGGAGAAGGACUGAGUCCCAAACACAUGGCCUUUUCAAAGGUCAGAUUUAAUUUUUUAUUUUCACGAUAAUGAGGCUUCUCCCCUUUUUGAAAUCAGGAGAGCUGCAUUUUAUUUGCACUUUCUUCACUUCUCGUCUGAAAUUACAUUUAAAGCAGGGGUUAUGGGGGGGGGGAAGGGGAGCUACCAGCUGUUAAUUUUGAAAGGAGUUAUUGAAACGACUAAAAAUUUGCACCACUGACCUCUCCCCAUUUAUUGUAUUCUGUAUUUUGGCUUUUGUUUACUUUGCAGAGUUUUUUUAAAUACUCAGCCAGUCUUUGAGGUAAUAACAGUAUCCUAAGCAGAAGAUGCUGCUGGGUGUACAGGCUGUUGCCUCAAGGAACUACUCUCUGAGUCUAGGGUUUGGUCACUCCAGAGGCUCUUCAAAAGUUUCUGCCUAAUCAUAAUUUUUAAAAAUGAGAAUGAGGAAAAUAUUAAAUAUAUGAAAAAUAA